rnacentral:rRNA from 1 species
GGGGGUGACGUUGUCCGGAAUAUUGCGGCGUAAGGGCUCGCAGGCGGUUUCUUAAGUCUGAUGUGAAAGCCCCCGGCUCAACCGGGGAGGGUCAUUGGAAACUGGGGAACUUGAGUGCAGAAGAGGAGAGUGGAAUUCCACGUGUAGCGGUGAAAUGCGUAGAGAUGUGGAGGAACACCAGUGGCGAAGGCGACUCUCUGGUCUGUAACUGACGCUGAGGAGCGAAAGCGUGGGGAGCGAACAGGAUUAGAUACCCUGGUAGUCCACGCCGUAAACGAUGAGUGCUAAGUGUUAGGGGGUUUCCGCCCCUUAGUGCUGCAGCUAACGCAUUAAGCACUCCGCCUGGGGAGUACGGUCGCAAGACUGAAACUCAAAGGAAUUGACGGGGGCCCGCACAAGCGGUGGAGCAUGUGGUUUAAUUCGAAGCAACGCGAAGAACCUUACCAGGUCUUGACAUCCUCUGACAAUCCUAGAGAUAGGACGUCCCCUUCGGGGGCAGAGUGACAGGUGGUGCAUGGUUGUCGUCAGCUCGUGUCGUGAGAUGUUGGGUUAAGUCCCGCAACGAGCGCAACCCUUGAUCUUAGUUGCCAGCAUUCAGUUGGGCACUCUAAGGUGACUGCCGGUGACAAACCGGAGGAAGGUGGGGAUGACGUCAAAUCAUCAUGCCCCUUAUGACCUGGGCUACACACGUGCUACAAUGGACAGAACAAAGGGCAGCGAAACCGCGAGGUUAAGCCAAUCCCACAAAUCUGUUCUCAGUUCGGAUCGCAGUCUGCAACUCGACUGCGUGAAGCUGGAAUCGCUAGUAAUCGCGGAUCAGCAUGCCGCGAGUGAAUACGUUCCCGGGCCUUGUACACACCGCCCGUCACACCACGAGAGUUUGUAACACCCGAAGUCGGUGAGGUAACCUUUUAGGAGCCAGCCGCCGAAGGUGGGACAGAUGAUUGGGGUGAUCGAAAAAGGGGGGACCCCACAUAUAAAGGGGG